UACGGAGGAUGCGAGCGUUAUUCGGAUUUAUUGGGUUUAAAGGGUGCGUAGGCGGGCUGUUAAGUCAGCGGUCAAAUGUCGGGGCUCAACCCCGGCCUGCCGUUGAAACUGACGGUCUUGAGUGGGCGAGAAGUAUGCGGAAUGCGUGGUGUAGCGGUGAAAUGCAUAGAUAUCGCGCAGAACUCCGAUUGCGAAGGCAUCUCACGAAUCCGCGAUUGACGCUGAUGCACGAAAGCGUGGGUAUCAAACAGG
rnacentral:rRNA from 1 species